AUGAGACUGAACUGGGAAACUUCACCUCCUUUUUUUCCUUCCCCCCCCCCUUUUCCCCUCCUUUUUUUUUUUCCUCCUUUUCCCCAUUUUUUCUUUUCUUUUUCUCCUUCUCCCCACUCCCCUUUUUUUUUCUUUUUCUUUUCCUUUCCUUUUACUUCUUCUCCUUCUCCCACCCCCCCCACCCAGACAUCCCGAGACAACUACAAGUCUGCUUUGAAAAUUGCAGCAAGCCUUUUAGCAGUUGGGGACCGGGGGCUGUGUCCGAAUGACAAAAAGCCCCCGCUGCCACGCACACACACACACACACACACACACACACACACACGCCGGGAAGCCCCGUCCGCACCGCGCACUGCAUUUCUCCCCUUUCACUGCCGGGAAGCAUCCGCGGGGCCGAGCUCCCGUCUCGAUGCCGUCCCACAGCGCAGCGGCUGCACGGAGCUGCCAGGCCCCACUCACCGUUCCUAUACAUCCAUAGGCACCCACAUAUCUAUGUCUGUGUAUAUGCACACGGGGAGCAGCGGUUCUGUUGGUUUGUCAAAGAGAAAAAGGGCCACGGGCAGUGGGAACAAAACCCAGCACGACUCGCGGUGGGAACUCCCAGUAUUUACUGCUCUCCCCACAUUUCUCCCGCUGUCACCGUGGCUUUUCGGGGGUUGCCCCGCACUGCCCGGCCGGGCCCUCAGCGAACCCCGCAGUUCCUCUCGUGAACUUUCCCCACGCAGCCUCGCGGGCCGCUCUCUCCCGUCCUCUUGGCGGCUGCGAGGAGGAAAUCUGGCAGGGGCUCCUUCCCAGCAGUCCCCGAUCUGCUCCAAGCGCACUCUUGGAGGCAGCCUCUCUCGGAGGGAGGGGUGCGCUACAUUCGCAGUCAAAUUACAUGGCUGGCCUCAGAGGCACUGGCUUCGGAUUUCCAAAGUAAUACUCAUCUUUGAGAAGCCGAGCCAAGAAGAAAAUACGAGGAAGGCCUCGGAUGCGGGAGACCUCGGGCGAGAGCUUCAUUUUUUUGCGUUCGCUUCACCCAUCGUUUGGCGAAGUUCGGGCUUGCAAAGAGCAGAGGGCAUUUUGGGGAUUCACCUCCCGACCAACACCGACCACUCAAUUUCCCCAUCCCCACAUGGGGCAGAAGGAGGCUGCAAGACUCGAAGCACGCAAUUGCUGGCAGUGGCGUCUCGGGAGGGAUGCGUAAUGUCCUCUUAGUCGCGCAGAGCUCCACCGGAUCUCUCCCUGCUGAUGCGCGCUCCCCAGCACCGAAACGCGCAGGGAUGUGCGCUGUGGAAGCCACACGGCAUGAAACAAAACACAGCUCCUUCAGCAAAACCAGCGUCGUCCGCGGAUUUUUCAGGCACCCGAGCCCCGGGGUGACAUUUUCUACCCGCAUGAUACAUGUCCAAAGCACACGUGGGAAAUUUUCCUUACACCGCGUGUGCGCUUCCUUCGGGUUUCUGCGCAGUUUACAUCGCGUUGGAUGCUUCCAUCCACCAACUGCAUUCACCCCUGGGCUCGUUCUGAAUUAAAGCUUCUUUUAUAGUCUGUAUAUUUUUUUAUGGUUUCCUGGAAAGAGGGGGGAAAAAAAUAAAGGAAAAGCGUGUUUAGGAGUUUCUGAAAACUUCCCCUCGGCGCAGCGCUGAAGAUGGGGAUUCCCGGGCCAGAGGUGCUGGCUCUCCCCUGCGCGUCCCCUGCGGGGGACUGUAGCUCGCUCCGGCCGGGCCACCUCUUUUCGCCAAAGGAACAAAGGGAAAGGCCGGGCCUCUGUCGGGAGCCGCGGCAGAAGCGCAGCGCUGUGCUGCGAGGGGACCCCGGCUUGCGCUGCUUGGGCAGAGCCCUCAGCAGACAGCCGGCCGUAGACACGUACUGAUAUUUGCAGACACGGGGCUGAGGUCCCAGGGCACCGGGCUGAGAGCCUCA
rnacentral:lncRNA from 7 species